CCCAGACUCCUAUGGGAGGCAGCAGUGAGGAAUAUUGGUCAAUGGGCGGGAGCCUGAACCAGCCAAGCCGCGUGAAGGAAGAAGGCGCCAGGCGUCGUAAACUUCUUUUGUCGGGGAACAAAGGGCGCCACGCGUGGCGUUGUGAGUGUACCCGAAGAAAAAGCAUCGGCUAACUCCGUGCCAGCAGCCGCGGUAAUACGGAGGAUGCGAGCGUUAUCCGGAUUUAUUGGGUUUAAAGGGUGCGUAGGCGGUUUGAUAAGUUAGAGGUGAAAUACCGGUGCUCAACGCCGGAACUGCCUCUAAUACUGUUGAACUAGAGAGUAGUUGCGGUAGGCGGAAUGUAUGGUGUAGCGGUGAAAUGCGUAGAUAUUAGGAGGAACACCAGUGGCGAAGGCGGCCUGCUGGACGACAACUGACGGUGAGACGCGAAAGCGUGGGGAGCAAACAGGAUUAGAUACCCGUGUAAA
rnacentral:rRNA from 1 species